GACACUCUAGAGAUGAACUGUUCUCCAGGCUUCGUGACUGUGGUACUCUUGAUGCUUGGACAAACCCACGGAGACUCAGUGACCCAGAUGGAAGGCCCAGUGACCCUCUCCGAAGGGGAGUCCCUGACUAUAAACUGUACUUAUUCAGCGACAGGGUACCCCACUCUUUUCUGGUAUGUCCAGUAUCCCGGAGAAGGUCCACAGCUCCUCCUGAAAGCCUUGAGGGACAAGGAGACGGGAAGUCACAAAGGUUUUGAAGCCACCUAUGACAGCAAAUCCAAAUCCUUCCACUUGGAGAAGUCCUCAGUGCAAGCGUCAGAUUCGGCUGUGUACUACUGUGCUGCGAGUGACACAGUGACAGGGACUGCAGGGGGAGCUGAGCACAAACUCUGAGCAGAACAGGGGCCCAGGUGCUGAAUGUCUCUGAUCUACUCUGGUUCCAGCACAGUGUAUGAUGGUUUGCCCCUCAGUGUCUGCUUGAUACACAAGUCAUACAAAUGGCUAGAGCAUGGGAACCAGAAGGAACAUCCCCCAAACCCAGCUGUUCAUUAGUGCAAUGAGAAAUUCCAGUAGUUCCUCAGUCAGGACCCAAGUAAUUUCAAGGUGAAACCACAUAACAUUGAAGUGGUAUCUUGCUC